GUGGCGGCUUCGGAUUAUUGGGCGUAAAGAGCUCGUAGGCGGUUUGUCGCGUCUGCCGUGAAAGUCCGGGGCUCAACUCCGGAUCUGCGGUGGGUACGGGCAGACUAGAGUGAUGUAGGGGAGACUGGAAUUCCUGGUGUAGCGGUGAAAUGCGCAGAUAUCAGGAGGAACACCGAUGGCGAAGGCAGGUCUCUGGGCAUUAACUGACGCUGAGGAGCGAAAGCAUGGGGAGCGAACAGGAUUAGAUACCCUGGUAGUCCAUGCCGUAAACGUUGGGCACUAGGUGUGGGGGACAUUCCACGUUUUCCGCGCCGUAGCUAACGCAUUAAGUGCCCCGCCUGGGGAGUACGGCCGCAAGGCUAAAACUCAAAGGAAUUGACGGGGGCCCGCACAAGCGGCGGAGCAUGCGGAUUAAUUCGAUGCAACGCGAAGAACCUUACCAAGGCUUGACAUGGGCCGGACCGGGCUGGAAACAGUCCUUCCCCUUUGGGGCCGGUUCACAGGUGGUGCAUGGUUGUCGUCAGCUCGUGUCGUGAGAUGUUGGGUUAAGUCCCGCAACGAGCGCAACCCUCGUUCCAUGUUGCCAGCGCGUAAUGGCGGGGACUCAUGGGAGACUGCCGGGGUCAACUCGGAGGAAGGUGGGGACGACGUCAAAUCAUCAUGCCCCUUACGUCUUGGGCUUCACGCAUGCUACAAUGGCCGGUACAAAGGGUUGCGAUACUGUGAGGUGGAGCUAAUCCCAAAAAGCCGGUCUCAGUUCGGAUUGGGGUCUGCAACUCGGCCCCAUGAAGUCGGAGUCGCUAGUAAUCGCAGAUCAGCAACGCUGCGGUGAAUACGUUCCCGGGCCUUGUACACACCGCCCGUCAAGUCACGAAAGUUGGUAACACCCGAAGCCGGUGGCCUAACCCCUUGUGGGAGGGAGCUGUCGAAGGUGGGACUGGCGAUUGGGACUAAGUCGUAACAAGGUAAC
rnacentral:rRNA from 1 species